UUACGGCCAUAUCACGUUGAAACACCUGUUAUAGUCUGAUUACCGAAGUUAAGCAACGCUGAGCCUGGUCAGUAUUCAGAUGAGUGAACGCUGGAGAAUACCACGAGAUGCAAG